AGUGAACGCUGGCGGCAGGCCUAACACAUGCAAGUCGAACGGCCGCACAAUAAGCUCUUGCUCUUACCGGUGGCGAGUGGCGGACGGGUGAGGAAUACAUAACAAUCUAAUUAUUCGUGGGGGAUAACGUAGGGCAACUUCCGCUAAUACCUCAUACGACCUACGGGUGAAAGCAAGAGAUAUACGCACCUUUCGUGAUUGAAUGAGCUGAGGUCGGACUAGCUUGUUGGCGGGGUAAAGGCCUACCAAGGCGACGAUACGUAGCUGGUCUGAGAGGAUGAUCAGCCACACUGGAACUGAGACACGGUCCAGACUCCUACGGGAGGCAGCAGUGGGGAAUAUUAGGCAAUGGGCGCAAGCCUGAUCCAGCCAUACCGCGUGGGUGAAGAAGGCCUUCGGAUUGUAAAGCCCUUUUAUUAGGAAAGAAAAGCUGUAUAUUAAUACCCGGCUGUUCUGACGGUACCCAAAGAAAAAGCACCGGCUAACUACGUG
rnacentral:rRNA from 1 species